UGGUUCAAAAAUCAACUCGUGGAAGGAUUGUUGGGUUGGUUAUACUCCCCUCAGAUCUAUGUUACAUGGCCCUCUAUCUAGAUCAGAUAUUAAUCUCAAAGUUAAGGAUAUCCUUAACAAUGAUGGCACUUGGAACUUCUAUCAGCUCAAGGUUCGCCGGGAAGGGCGGGGCCAGGUGGUGUCCUUCGGAAUUGCUAAGGUGUUUGGGUUCGAGGAUUUUCUCGAUUUCUGGGCAUCUCCAAAAACUCGCUAGCUGAGCGUUGGGCACUGAGGGAUGGAUUGGUCUUAGCACGUGAAACGGGCAUCCCAGCUCUCGAGAUAGAGCCAGAUGCCAAGGUUCUUGACGGGGCACUUUGCGAGGAUUCGGAUGAAGCAUAUCUACCGCGAACCUAACUCGGUGGCUGAUUUUAUGGCUCGCUUGUCUAGGGAUGGAGUAGAUACUGCUCAGGAGUUUGUACUCUUUGAUGAACCUCCAAGUGGGGUUCUUGAACUAUUGUUUGCUGAUCUUAUCGGUGCUGCUAGCACUCGUUCUAUCUGUAUUAACACCCAUAUGGGAACCGACAUUGGCUAGUUAAUUUAAUAGACUUAUCCUUUUCAACCAAAAAAUAAAUAAAUAUAUAUACUGUUUGAUCGAAA